rnacentral:rRNA from 1 species
UACGUAGGGUGCGAGCGUUGUCCGGAAUCAUUGGGCGUAAAGAGCGUGUAGGCGGCCCGGUAAGUCCGCUGUGAAAGUCGAGGGCUCAACCCUCGAAUGCCGGCGGAUACUGUCGGGCUAGAGUCCGGAAGAGGCGAGUGGAAUUCCUGGUGUAGCGGUGAAAUGCGCAGAUAUCAGGAGGAACACCUACGGCGAAGGCAGCUCGCUGGGACGGUACUGACGCUGAGACGCGAAAGCGUGGGGAGCAAACAGG